GAUGAAGAACGCAGCGAAAUGCGAUAAGUAAUGUGAAUUGCAGAAUUCAGUGAAUCAUCGAAUCUUUGAACGCACAUUGCGCCCGCCAGCAUUCUGGCGGGCAUGCCUGUUCGAGCGUCAUUUCAACCCUCGACUUCCCUUUGGGGAAAUCGGCCGUUGGAGACGGCGAGUCUUCGUGCUCGCCCCUCCCAAAUUCAGUGGCGGCCCGUCCGCGGCGACCUCUGCGUAGUACUUACACCUCGCACCGGAACCCCGACGUGGCCACGCCGUAAAACAACCCAAUUCUGAACGUUGACCUCGGAUCAGGUAGGAAUACCCGCUGAACUUAAGCAUAUCAAUAGCGGAGGA
rnacentral:misc_RNA from 1 species